UCUUACCGAAACUGCGAUCUGGCAAUUUUCCAGCAUAGCUGCACUGAUAUAAUUAUCCCUGUUUUCUCCUUGCUACUCACUGAUAUCGCAUUUGGUUCACUGCUCACAAUAUUUCCACAGCUCUCAAGUGCACGACUUACUAAAUGCUACACCAUCGUCAUGUGAAGUAAAUAAACGAUUUUACGUCUUCUGUCCUUACGUCUCCGGGUGGCUUCAUCGUGCCUGAAAAUGGUUUACCCGUAUGGAGAACAAGGGCCACUAGAAGAUACGUGAAACAGAUUAUCAAAGAACUAAUGGAUAGGUGGUCACACCAUUGACAUAUCAAAAUGUUAACAGCUCUGUGGAUGACGAAGCAGUGAAGCAACUCUCUCAUUGGAUAUGACUUCCUGGUUAUUAGCUCAACCCUCAAAUAUGUAAAGCAGACCACCAGUUGCAGGUCACGACAGAAAUGUUUCAAGUACACUUUUUAAAAAAAAAGGAAAACCAAAGAUCUGAGUUGGUGUGCACCAAAAUGGCAACAGACUAGGAGAAGGCACAAUUAUUUAUCUGGUAUCAACAACAGUAUGGGAUGGCACUACCGAAAUAAACAAGCAUAAUGAGGUGGUUCAGAAACUUAAAAAUGAAAUGUCACAGACUUCCUCUGAAGUGAUGUCUGCUUGGGCCUCAAGCAAAUGUUGACUGAGUGCCAACAGCAUUUUAGCACAGCCCCCAGCAGUCAAUUCGUUGAAGAUCACAUGAAUUGCAGGAAUUGAGACCAACUGUACAUAGUGUUACAUAAGUGAUCAUGCCUUUUGCAUACAAAAUGAAAAUGGUCCAAGCAUUACAGCCAAAUAAUCAUUUUACUGUGGCACUCAUUCAUGUGUUCUAUGCUGUUGAC